rnacentral:rRNA from 1 species
UACGAAGGGAGCUAGCGUUGUUCGGAAUCACUGGGCGUAAAGCGCACGUAGGCGGUCUGUUAUGUCGGAUGUGAAAGCCCUUGGCUUAACUGAGGAAGUGCAUCCGAAACUGGCAGGCUAGAGUACUAAAGAGGGUCGCGGAAUUCCCGGUGUAGAGGUGAAAUUCGUAGAUAUCGGGAGGAACACCGGUGGCGAAGGCGGCGACCUGGGUAGAUACUGACGCUGAGGUGCGAAAGCGUGGGGAGCAAACAGG